UACAGAGGGUGCAACCGUUGCUCGGAAUUAUUGGGCGUAAAGCGCGUGUAGGCGGCUUGUUAAGUUGGUCGUGAAAGCCCAUGGCUCAACCAUGGAAGUGCAACCAAAACUGGCAAGCUUGAGUGCUGAAGAGGAUGGCGGAAUUCCCAGUGUAGAGGUGAAAUUCGUGGAUAUUGGGAGGAACAUCGGUGGCGAAGGCGGCCAUCUGGGAAGCAACUGACGCUGAGACGCGAAAGCGUGGGUAGCAAACAGG
rnacentral:rRNA from 1 species